rnacentral:rRNA from 1 species
CCUACGGUAGGCAGCAGUGGGGAAUUUUGCGCAAUGGGCGAAAGCCUGACGCAGCAACGCCGCGUGGAGGAUGAAGGCCUUCGGGUCGUAAACUCCUGUCAGGGGGGACGAAAGUCCCGCGCAAGCGGGAUCUGACUGUACCUCCGGAGGAAGCCACGGCUAACUCCGUGCCAGCAGCCGCGGUAAUACGGAGGUGGCAAGCGUUGUUCGGAAUUACUGGGCGUAAAGGGCGCGUAGGCGGCUUGGCAAGUCAGAUGUGAAAGCCCCGGGCUCAACUCGGGAAUUGCAUCUGAAACUGCCGGGCUUGAGUCCUGGAGGGGGCAGUGGAAUUCCCAGUGUAGCGGUGAAAUGCGUAGAUAUCGGUAGGACCACCAGUGGCGAAGGCGGCUUUCUGGACAUUUUCUGACGCUGAGAUGCGAAAGCAAGGGGAGCAAACGGGAUUAGAUACCCCUGUAGU